GGUCAUCUGGGAUACUCGUGAUGAAGUGGAUAAAUCCUUGAGCCUAUUUCUUUAUCCCGGGAGCGACCUUUUGGUUUUGUGUGCAUGACUGCUUCGGCGGUAAGCCUUAUAGACCAUAACAAGCACCCACUUGAACCUUUGGUUCAAGGCUGAAGUUUCACACGACUUCUUGGAGCCGU
rnacentral:other from 1 species